AGGACGAACGCUGGCGGCGUGCUUAACACAUGCAAGUCGAGCGGAAAGGCCCUUCGGGGUACUCGAGCGGCGAACGGGUGAGUAACACGUGAGUAAUCUGCCCCUAGCUCUGGGAUAGCUCCGGGAAAACCGGGAUUAAUACCAGAUACGACCACUUUAGACAUCUGUUGUGGUGGAAAGAAUUUUGGCUAGGGAUGAGCUCGCGGCCUAUCAGCUUGUUGGUGAGGUAACGGCUCACCAAGGCGACGACGGGUAGCCGGCCUGAGAGGGCGACCGGCCACACUGGGACUGAGACACGGCCCAGACUCCUACGGGAGGCAGCAGUGGGGAAUAUUGCGCAAUGGGCGAAAGCCUGACGCAGCGACGCCGCGUGGGGGAUGAAGGCCUUCGGGUUGUAAACCCUUUCAGCAGGGACGAAGCGAAAGUGACGGUACCUGCAGAAGAGCGCGGCUAACUACGUGCCAGUAGCCGC
rnacentral:rRNA from 1 species